AACGAACGCUGGCGGCAGGCUUAACACAUGCAAGUCGAGCGCCCCGCAAGGGGAGCGGCAGACGGGUGAGUAACGCGUGGGAACGUGCCCUUUGGUUCGGAACAACUCCGGGAAACUGGAGCUAAUACCGGAUAAGCCCUUCGGGGGAAAGAUUUAUCGCCAAAGGAUCGGCCCGCGUCUGAUUAGCUAGUUGGUGGGGUAAUGGCCCACCAAGGCGACGAUCAGUAGCUGGUCUGAGAGGAUGAUCAGCCACACUGGGACUGAGACACGGCCCAGACUCCUACGGGAGGCAGCAGUGGGGAAUAUUGGACAAUGGGCGCAAGCCUGAUCCGGCAACGCCGCGUGAGUGAUGAAGGUCUUCGGAUUGUAAAGCUCUUUUGGCAGGGACGAUGAUGACGGUACCUGCAGAAUAAGCUCCGGCUAACUUCGUGCCAGCCGCCGCAGUAA
rnacentral:rRNA from 1 species